rnacentral:misc_RNA from 1 species
GUGAAUCAUCGAAUUUUUGAACGCAAAUUGCACUCUCUUCGAAUAGUAUGCCUAUUUGAGGGUCAGUAUUAGUAAAAAUCUGUGUGUUUCUUCUUUGUGACGCUCCGGGGUUUGGGUCAUCUUAAUAUCCUUUAGGUUUUAAGAGACUUAAAAUUGACUUUUUUUGCGCAUUUUAGAUGGACAUAGAUUCUUUUUUUUAUUCGUCUAUC